CCGGCACGGGUGAGUAACACGUAUCCAACCUGCCGUCUACUCUUGGACAGCCUCUGAAAGGAAGAUUAAUACAAGAUGGCAUCAUGAGUCCGCAUGUUCACAUGAUUAAAGGUAUUCCGGUAGACGAUGGGGAUGCGUUCCAUUAGAUAGUAGGCGGGGUAACGGCCCACCUAGUCUUCGAUGGAUAGGGGUUCUGAGAGGAAGGUCCCCCACAUUGGAACUGAGACACGGUCCAA
rnacentral:rRNA from 1 species